rnacentral:ncRNA from 1 species
CAAAAACAUGCAAGCAACGUCUGUGGGGCAACUGAGGCCAAAACAGGCGGACGUCAAGGGCGUCAUGUGGGCUUAGUAGGCGUGCUGCGUGGGCACUUGACGUCGAAAUUUAAAUAAGAAGCGGGGCAUUUCCCCUCUUUUUGGACCUAAGGCUAGCUUCGUGGGCUGAUCUGGGCGGAAGACAUUGUUAGGUGGGGAGUUUGGCUGGGGCGGCACAUCUGUUAAAAGAUAGUGCAGGUGUCCUAAGAUGAGCUCAGUGAGAACAGAAAUCUCGUGUGGAACAGAAGGGUAAAAGCUCAUUUGAUUCUGAUUUCCAGUACAUAUACGAACUGUGAAAGUGUGGCCUAACGAUUCUUUAGACCUUCGGAAUUCGAAGCUAGAGGUGUCAGAAAAGUUACCGCAGGGAAAACUGGCUUGUGGCAGCCAAGCGUUCAUAGCGACGUUGCUUUUUUAUCCUUCGAUGACGGCUCUUCCUAUCAUUGUGAAGCAGAAUUCAACAAGUGUUGGAUUGUUCACCCACCAAUAGGGAACGUGAGCGGUGUUUAGAACGUCGUGAGACAGCUUAGUUUUGCCCUCUUGAUGACAGUGUCGCAAUAGUAAUUCAACCUCGUACGAGAGGAACCGUUGAUUCACAAAAUUGGCCAUCACGCUUGGUUGAAAAUCUAGUGGCGCGAAGCUACCAUGUGCUGGAUUAUGACUGAACUCCUCUAAGUUAAAAUCUGGGCUAGAAGCGACGCAUGCGCCUGCUGUCCGCUCGCCGACCUGCAGUAGGGGCCUAUGGCCCCCAAGGGCACAUGUCGUUGGCUAAAUCAUCGCGACGAAAGCUUCGUGGUGACCGCCUUGAAGUACAAUUUCCAUCGAGCGGCGGGUAGAAUCCUUUGCAUAGGACA